AACGAACGCUGGCGGCAUGCCUAACACAUGCAAGUCGAACGAGACCUUCGGGUCUAGUGGCCCACGUGUGCGUAACGCGUGGGAACGUGCCCUUAGGUUCGGAAUAACUCCCCGAAAGGGGUGCUAAUACCGGAUAAUGUCUUCGGACCAAAGAUUUAUCGCCUUUGGAGGGGCCCGCGUUGCAUUAGCUAGUUGGUAGGGUAAAAGCCUACCAAGGCGACGUUCCAUAGCUGGUCGGCGAGGAUGGUCAGUCACACUGGGACUGAGACACGGCCGAGACUAAUGCAGGUGGCAGCAGUGGGGAAUAUUGGAGCAUAGGCGGAAUCAUGAUCCCGCACUGCCGCGUGAGUGAUGUAGGACUGAGCGUCGUAAAACUCUUUUAACCGCGACGAUAAUGACAGUACCCGGAGAAUAAGCUCCGGCUAACUGCGUG
rnacentral:rRNA from 1 species